GGAAGGUGUGUUACGAGCUUUUUAUAUUAAUUGAAGAAGAUCAAAAUUAAAUUGAAAAGCCCAUGAUAAGUAUGUUUUAUUGAGACCCCAUAUUUCUUUAUUUGUGACUAUUAAGUCCAAAUUUCAAGGCUCUUAAACACGUGUUCUACACUCAACGUUAAAUGCAUUUAAUGUUACUUGAGUUUGUUUAACUAGGAGAUAAAUUCAUGAUACCAAGUAUU
rnacentral:misc_RNA from 1 species